rnacentral:rRNA from 1 species
UGCGUAGGCGGGCUAAUAAGUCAGUGGUGAAAUCUUUCGGCUCAACCGAGAAACUGCCAUUGAUACUGUUAGUCUUGAGUUCGGUUGAGGUAGGCGGAAUGUGUAAUGUAGCGGUGAAAUGCUUAGAUAUUACACAGAACACCGAUUGCGAAGGCAGCUUACUAGACCGACACUGACGCUGAGGCACGAAAGCGUGGGGAGCGAACAGGAUUAGAUACCCUGGUAGUCC